GCAGCAGGUGUCGGGUGGUUGAUUCAGCCUGACGCCCGGAGACCCACACGGAGGCCCGGCCAGAGGGCUCUAGGCACCAGGCGUCCAGACCCGGGGACCGGACGGGACCCGCACUGCCUCCCGACCCAGACUUUCUCCCAACAAGUGGUCGAAGUCGUCUGAGCCGAUGGCCGAGGACUCGCAGAGGACUCGAAGGAAUAGCAGUCAUACUGGUCAGCUCCCAGCGUCCACCAGUAGAAGGCUGUGGCUGUACUGGUCAGCUCCCAGUGUCCACCAGUAGACUACUGUGGCUGUACUGGUCAGCUCCCAGCGUCCACCAGUAGAAGGCUGUGGCUGUACUGGUCAGCUCCCAGUGUCCACCAGUAGAAGGCUGAGGUUGACAUCGC
ensembl:lncRNA